rnacentral:rRNA from 1 species
UCGAACGAUGAACCACUUNCGGUGGGGAUUAGUGGCGAACGGGUGAGUAACACGUGGGCAAUCUGCCCUGCACUCUGGGACAAGCCCUGGAAACGGGGUCUAAUACCGGAUAACACACGCUCAGGCAUCUGAGUGUGUUGAAAGCUCCGGCGGUGCAGGAUGAGCCCGCGGCCUAUCAGCUUGUUGGUGAGGUAGAAGCUCACCAAGGCGACGACGGGUAGCCGGCCUGAGAGGGCGACCGGCCACACUGGGACUGAGACACGGCCCAGACUCCUACGGGAGGCAGCAGUGGGGAAUAUUGCACAAUGGGCGAAAGCCUGAUGCAGCGACGCCGCGUGAGGGAUGACGGCCUUCGGGUUGUAAACCUCUUUCAGCAGGGAAGAAGCGAAAGUGACGGUACCUGCAGAAGAAGCGCCGGCUAACUACGUGCCAGCAGCCGCGGUAAUACGUAGGGCGCAAGCGUUGUCCGGAAUUAUUGGGCGUAAAGAGCUCGUAGGCGGCUUGUCACGUCGGUUGUGAAAGCCCGGGGCUUAACCCCGGGUCUGCAGUCGAUACGGGCAGGCUAGAGUGUGGUAGGGGAGAUCGGAAUUCCUGGUGUAGCGGUGAAAUGCGCAGAUAUCAGGAGGAACACCGGUGGCGAAGGCGGAUCUCUGGGCCAUUACUGACGCUGAGGAGCGAAAGCGUGGGGAGCGAACAGGAUU